rnacentral:rRNA from 1 species
AUUGAACGCUGGCGGCAGGCCUAACACAUGCAAGUCGAGCGGAUGAGGGAAGCUUGCUUCCCGAUUUAGCGGCGGACGGGUGAGUAAUGCCUAGGAAUCUGCCUGUUAGUGGGGGAUAACCCGGGGAAACUCGGGCUAAUACCGCAUACGUCCUACGGGAGAAAGUGGGGGAUCUUCGGACCUCACGCUAACAGAUGAGCCUAGGUCGGAUUAGCUAGUAGGUGAGGUAAUGGCUCACCUAGGCGACGAUCCGUAACUGGUCUGAGAGGAUGAUCAGUCACACUGGAACUGAGACACGGUCCAGACUCCUACGGGAGGCAGCAGUGGGGAAUAUUGGACAAUGGGCGAAAGCCUGAUCCAGCCAUGCCGCGUGUGUGAAGAAGGUCUUCGGAUUGUAAAGCACUUUAAGUUGGGAGGAAGGGUAUUCACCCAAUACGUGGGUACUUUGACGUUACCAACAGAAUAAGCACCGGCUAACUUCGUGCCAGCAGCCGCGGUAAAAC